GGAAGAAUGCUCGAUUAGACUGCAUUUUGCCCUGCUUUUCUCUCUCUCUCUUCCCUUUCUUUCUUUCUCUUUCUUGUCUCUCUCUCUUUUCUUUCUGCCAGAAGAUUGGAAACAAUAUCUUUUUCCGAUCAGUUCAGUAAUACAAUGUCCUUCAGUGUUCACACGAGCAUUUCAGUGGAGAAGAAAAGAAACUUUGCUACCUGGGAACAGAAGACUACUUAGGUCUGCUAAUAAAGUCCUUAGGACUUCUGGAGCCAGAAGUUAAACUUUUCUCAACUGUUAAGAGAUGUUGGUGUCCCACAUCCUGUUGGUCUCCCACAUCCUGUUGGUCUCAUCUCUCCAGGACUGUGGCCCUUCAGGAAAAAUUCCCUACUGAAGGGGAAGCAACAGCCUAGAGGACCUCUUAGAAAGGACCGCAUCAUCAGCUAAGGAGGAAAAGUAACAAAGAACUUGAGGACUUUCAUGGCUCCCAGGCCCUGGAUGGAGACCGGCGGCAUCAGGCAGCUUCAGACAGAGAACCGUGGAAGCUGAGGGGCAGCCGGGAUGCGCCUGGGGCUGCAAAGCCCAGACUUGUCUUUGGAAAAGACUCAGAAGAGCCCGUUAACUUGGCUUCCUCACUUCUGCUCAUCAUACGCGGGUGAAUGGUUUGAAGAUGCUGGCCUAGCAAGAUGGCAACAGGUUUAAAAAAUAGGAUUCAUAAGAAGUUCCUUUUCUCAGUGUGCUCAUCACACCGCUGGCCUCCAAUCAGAGCAUGAACACGUGUCCCGGAGGCCGUCCAAGCAGAGAUUUCAGCAGUGGUACCUGUUGGCCGACUCAUGGGGCCCUUUCCCUUUCCUGUUCCCUGGAGGCGGUAAACUGGGCUGAACACAAUAUCCUUGUAUAUUUCCCAUCAUCCUCCCAACAUGCUUCACCUCUCCCAGACUCCUAGGGUUAAUCCCCAAGACAACCUUGCUUUGAAAGAAAAAAUGUGGUGAGCCUACUUGAAGAUUUGGAUCCCAGAGGCCUCUUCUCUGUCCUGCCUCAGCCAGACACGGGGCAAAGAGACGGACGUUUACAGAGAAAGAAGCAGUAAGUUCUUAUUGUUGCUUUUUUUCAAUGUUUGAUUGCUCUCUAGAUUUAGGGUCCUUGAAAGUAGUGGGCUUUUCUUUUCUUCUUUUUCUCUCCUCUCUCUCUUUUUUUCUUUCUUCCUCUGCAGAAAUUAAUCAUAUCCCCUUCCCAUCCUGUGGGUGAUUCAUAAAAGCAAUCGCAUUAGAAAGUGCUUCUCCGUUGCUGCUCGUAGCCUGGGUUAAAGAUAUCUGAAGUUGAUCUGUGUGUGCCUGUUCGCAGUACUGUAAUAUUUGGAAAUGUAUCUGCAUUUGUAAAAAUGGUUUGCACUGAUGAUUCUUCCCUAGAAGAAACACUACAUAGCUGGCUGAUUGAUUGUAAUGAUGAUGAAUUUGUCCCAGGACUGGCAUGGAUGUCUUCUUUGGGGAUUUUUGUGCCUAUUUGCUGCUCAUCAAAGGGAAGCGCAGACCGAGUUUGGAAUGAGGGUGUGGUCCGCCCGAUUCAGCUUCCUUCCCGGCCCAUCUCUGACUCCUGCCUCCUGCUUCUCCCCUCCCACCCUGGCUCCUCCGAUCCUUCCUGAGACUGCCAGUGAAACGGCAUCCACCUUUCUUUUCCCUUACUGCCUGUGUUGUGCUCCAUCGGGUCAGAGACCACUCCCCGUGAUCAAACUCAUCAUGUUUGUGAUCUCAGCAUAUUUUCAAUCCAACUGAAAUCAACUCCCUUAGCUUCUUCCAUCCUGGGAUUAUUCAUCAACAUAGUAAGAGCAGUAGUAAUACUGUAUUUAGAAGUUCCUUAGCCCAUUGCAUCUCUGAGAGUCUUACAGAUGUUACUAAUUAAUCUUCACAACACCCCAUCCAGGAGUGGUAAAUACUAUUAACCAUAAUAGAAUAUACACACACACGUGCUCG